CACCAGCACACCAGACCAGAUCAACCACAGCCCAGCCAACUGUGAACGUUCUCUCAAAGUUUUGAACAAACGUUCUUCCAGUAAUGUUAAUAGAACGUUGGUUUAAAGUUAUCUGGUCUUUAACAAUGUCUCAAAACAUUAUUUAUACGUUGUUCAUGGAACAUUUUAUUUCUGAAACUUGUAGCUGGACAUUGGUCUAACGUUUUUUACGUUACUAGUUUUAGAACGUUCAGAGAACAUUCAAAAGUAAUGUUCCCAUAACGUUUGAAGAAUGAAAAAACUGUAUGUUCCGUUAAAUGGUUAGUUCACCCGAAAAUGAAAAUUCUGUAAUUAAUUACUCACCCCCAUGUUGUUCCACAUCCGUCAGACCUUCAUUCAUAUUCGGAACACAAAUUAAGAUAUUUUUGGUGAAAUCUGAUAGCUUUCUGUCCCUCCAUAGACAGCUACGCAACUGACACUUUGACGCUUCAAAAACUUCAUAAAGAGAUCGUAAAAUUAAUCCAUAUGAAUCGAGCGGUUCAGUCCAAAUUUUCUGAAGAGACACGAUCACUUUAUAUGAUGGACAGAUUGAAUUUAGGCUUUUAUUCACAUAUAAACAUUCAUCAACUCACACAUCAGUUAUGGUAAACAGAAGCUCAAGCAUGUUUGCUUGACACAUGCGAGAACCAAUGAGGUUCAUUCUCGUGUUACGCAGCACAUUUGAGCUUCUGCAAGAACCAGUGAGGUUCAUUCUCGUGUUACGCAGCACAUUUGAGCUUCUGCAAGGACCAAUGAGGUUCAUUCUCGUGUUACGCAGCACGUUUGAGCUUCAGCAAGAACCAAUGAGGUUCAUUCUCGUGUUACGCAGCACGUUUGAGCUUCAGCAAGAACCAAUGAGGUUCAUUCUCGUGUUACGCAGCACAUUUGAGCUUCAGCAAGAACCAAUGAGGUUCAUUCUCGUGUUACGCAGCACAUUUGAGCUUCAGCAAGAACCAAUGAGGUUCAUUCUCGUGUUACGCAGCACAUUUGAGCUUCAGCAAGAACCAAUGAGGUUCAUUCUUGUGUUACGCAGCACGUUUGAGCUUCAGCAAGAACCAAUGAGGUUCAUUCUCGUGUUACGCAGCACGUUUGAGCUUCAGCAAGAACCAAUGAGGUUCAUUCUCGUGUUACGCAGCACAUUUGAGCUUCAGCAAGAACCAAUGAGGUUCAUUCUCGUGUUACGCAGCACGUUUGAGCUUCAGCAAGAACCAAUGAGGUUCAUUCUCGUGUUACGCAGCACGUUUGAGCUUCAGCAAGAACCAAUGAGGUUCAUUCUCGUGUUACGCAGCACGUUUGAGCUUCAGCAAGAACCAAUGAGGCUCAUUCUCGUGCUACGCAGCACGUUUGAGCUUGUUGAAAAAAACAGCAUAUCCUGGUUAGAUAUGUUUUGAAGCAUCAAAGCUGGUUUAAGCUGGUCAAGUGCUGGUCCUGAGCUGGAGCUAGUUGCUUAGGCAUAAACCAGCUAUGAUAGGAUGUCCUACCUGCCUAAACAGAUUUAAUUUAGGCUUUUACUCACAGGUAAACAUUGAUCAGCGAACAUAGGCAGAAGCUCAACCUAACCUGAAUGACGCACAAGAACAAACCUCUUCUGGAAACUCAAACGUACCACGUAACACACGAGAUUGAACCUCAUUGGUUACGCAGCAAGUUU